UACGUAGGGUGCGAGCGUUGUUCGGAAUCAUUGGGCGUAAAGCGCACGUAGGCGGCUUGUUAAGUCGGAUGUGAAAGCCCCAGGCUCAACCUGGGAAGUGCAUUCGAAACUGGCGAGCUUGAAUGUCGGAGAGGGCAGUGGAAUUCCGAGUGUAGAGGUGAAAUUCGUAGAUAUUCGGAGGAACACCAGUGGCGAAGGCGACUGCCUGGACGAACAUUGACGCUGAGGUGCGAAAGCGUGGGGAGCAAACAGG
rnacentral:rRNA from 1 species